CAAUAGCGUAUAUUAAAGUUGUUGCAGUUAAAAAGCUCGUAGUUGGAUUUCUGGUUGAAGCGACCGGUCGGGCGUUGAUUCGUCUGCACUGGAGUCGGUUUUGGCCAGCCUCUAGGAAAGUGCGUCUGGUAUUAAGUUAUCGGGCGUAUGAUCCUGGUCUUUUACUGUGAAAAAAUUAGAGUGUUUAAAGCAGGCCUUCGCCUUGAAUACAUUAGCAUGGAAUAAUAAGAUAGGACUUUGGUCUAUUUUGUUGGUUUGCAGACCGAAGUAAUGAUUAAUAGGGAUAGUUGGGGGUAUUUAUAUUCCGAUGUCAGAGGUGAAAUUCUUAGAUUUUCGGAAGAUAAACUUAUGCGAAAGCAUUUACCAAGGAUGUUUNCAUUA
rnacentral:rRNA from 1 species